rnacentral:rRNA from 1 species
AUGAAUGGAAACCAUGUGCAUCCCUGCUGGACACAUAAUUUUUCUUGCUACUAUACUAAUCAAGUCACAUUUUGUUCAAUUUGCUACCAUGUAGUUGUGUACAAGGAUGUACCUGGCUGGGCAAAGUCGCUCGAGUCUGCUCUGUCUCACCAUCAAAAAUCACCACCGUGGCCGUGUCUUGGCCGUCGGGGAUAUGUCUUCGCCCUGGCCCUUCCUGUGAGGCCGGGUCACGGCUCCUCGAUACAUCAGCGAGGAGGAUAUCAGGUCAUGGAAGCAAAAAGGAAGAAUUUUCUUCAAGUUGCUACCAUGUAG